rnacentral:rRNA from 1 species
UUGCAGUUAAAAAGCUCGUAGUUGGAUUUCUGGCAUGAUGCGCCUGGCCCGCCGUGAUUACGCGUGUGUGUGCUAGUGCGCGUCUGCCAUCCAUUGGCAGAAUAUGUCUACCCUUAAUUGGGCCGGAUAUGUGAUGUCAAUCUUUUACUUUGAAAAAAUUAGAGUGUUUAAAGCAGGCAUUUGCUAUGAAUACAUUAGCAUGGAAUAAUAAUCUAGGACUUCGGUUCUAUUUUGUUGGUUUCUAGAUCUGGAGUAAUGAUUGAUAGGGAUAGUUGGGGGUGCUAGUAUUAAGGGGCCAGAGGUGAAAUUCUUGGAUUCUCUUAAGACUAACUUAUGCGAAAGCAUUCACCAAGGAUGUCUUCUUUAAUCAAGAACGAAAGUUGGGGGAUCGAAGGCGAUCAGAUACCGUCGUAGUCUCAACCAUAAACUAUGCCAACUAGGGAUGAGUGAACGUUGCAUUUUCGACUUCAUUCGCACCUUAUGAGAAAUCAAAGUCUUUGGGUUCCGGGGGGAGUAUGGUCGCAAGGCUGAAACUUAAAGGAAUUGACGGAAGGGCACCACCAGGAGUGGAGCCUGCGGCUUAAUUUGACUCAACACG